rnacentral:rRNA from 1 species
GAUGAACGCUGGCGGCGUGCCUAAUACAUGCAAGUCGAGCGAACGGACGAGAAUCUUGCUUCUCUGAUGUUAGCGGCGGACGGGUGAGUAACACGUGGAUAACCUACCUAUAAGACUGGUAUAACUUCGGGACACCGGAGCUAAUACCGGAGAAUAUUUUGAACCGCAUGGUUCAAAAGUGAAAGACGGUCUUUCUGUCACUUAUAGAUGGAUCCGCGCUGCAUGAGCUAGUUGGUAAGGUAACGGCUUACCAAGGCAACUAUGCAUAGCCGACCUGAGAGGGUGAUCGGCCACACUAGAACUGAGACGCGCUCCAGGGGCCUGAGGGAGGAAGCAGUAGGGAAUGGUCCGCAAUGGGCGGAAGCCUGACGGAACAACCCCACGUGAGUGAUGAAGGUGCUCGGUUCGUAAAACUCUGUUAUGAGGGAAGAACAGAUGUGUAAGUAACUGUGCACAUAUUGACGGUAACUAAUAAGAAAGCAACGGCUAACUACGUG